rnacentral:siRNA from 1 species
AAUAUUGAUGAAUGGACGUCUAGA